rnacentral:rRNA from 1 species
GAUGAACGCUGGCGGCGUGCCUAAUACAUGCAAGUCGAGCGAACAGACGAGGAGCUUGCUCCUCUGACGUUAGCGGCGGACGGGUGAGUAACACGUGGAUAACCUACCUAUAAGACUGGGAUAACUUCGGGAAACCGGAGCUAAUACCGGAUAAUAUAUUGAACCGCAUGGUUCAAUAGUGAAAGACGGUUUUGCUGUCACUUAUAGAUGGAUCCGCGCCGCAUUAGCUAGUUGGUAAGGUAACGGCUUACCAAGGCAACGAUGCGUAGCCGACCUGAGAGGGUGAUCAGCCACAAUGGAACUGCGACACGGUCCAGACUCCUACGGGAGGCAGCAGUAGGGAAUCUUCCGCAAUGGGCGAAAGCCUGACGGAGCAACGCCGCGUGAGUGAUGAAGGUCUUCGGAUCGUAAAACUCUGUUAUUAGGGAAGAACAAAUGUGUAAGUAACUAUGCACGUCUUGACGGUACCUAAUCAGAAAGCCACGGCUAACUACGUG